GUGCUCGCUUCAGCAGCACAUAUACUAAAAUUGAAACGAUACAGAGAAGAUUAGCAUGGCCCCUGUGCAAGGAUGACACACAAAUUUGUGAAGCGUUCCAUAUUAAA
rnacentral:snRNA from 1 species